CGUAGGGGGCAAGCGUUGUCCGGAUUUACUGGGCGUAAAGAGCGCGUAGGCGGAACGUUAAGUCCGAUCUGAAAGCCCCCGGCUCAACCGGGGAGGGUGGUUGGAAACUGGCGUUCUUGAGGGCGAUAGAGGAAGGUGGAAUUCCUGGUGUAGCGGUGAAAUGCGUAGAGAUCAGGAGGAACACCAGUGGCGAAGGCGGCCUUCUGGGUCGACCCUGACGCUGAGGCGCGAAAGCGUGGGGAGCGAACGGGAUUAGAUACCCCGGUAGUCCACGCCGUAAACGAUGGUCACUAGGUGUGUGCGGUAUCGACCCCGCACGUGCCGGAGCUAACGCAAUAAGUGACCCGCCUGGGGAGUACGGCCGCAAGGUUG
rnacentral:rRNA from 1 species